rnacentral:rRNA from 1 species
UACGUAGGGGGCAAGCGUUGUCCGGAAUCAUUGGGCGUAAAGAGCGUGUAGGCGGCUUGGUAAGUCCGCUGUGAAAGUCCAGGGCUCAACCCUGGAAUGCCGGUGGAAACUGUCAAGCUUGAGUCCGGAAGAGGCGAGUGGAAUCCUGGUGUAGCGGUGAAAUGCGCAGAUAUCAGGAGGAACAGCCAAUGGCGAAGGCAGCUCGCUGGGACGGUACUGACGCUGGAGACGCGAAAGCGUGGGGAGCAAACAGG